rnacentral:rRNA from 1 species
CCUACGGGUGGCAGCAGUCGAGAAUCAUUCACAAUGGGGGAAACCCUGAUGGUGCGACGCCGCGUGGGGGAAUGAAGGUCUUCGGAUUGUAAACCCCUGUCAUGUGGGAGCAAAUUAAAAAGAUAGUACCACAAGAGGAAGAGACGGCUAACUCUGUGCCAGCAGCCGCGGUAAUACAGAGGUCUCAAGCGUUGUUCGGAAUCACUGGGCGUAAAGCGUGCGUAGGCUGUUUCGUAAGUCGUGUGUGAAAGGGGCGGGCUCAACCCGCGGACGGCACAUGAUACUGCGAGACUAGAGUAAUGGAGGGGGAACCGGAAUUCGCGGUGUAGCAGUGAAAUGCGUAGAUAUCGAGCGGAACACUCGUGGCGAAGGCGGGUUCCUGGACAUUAACUGACGCUGAGGCACGAAGGCCAGGGGAGCGAAAGGGAUUAGAUACCCGGGUAGUC